rnacentral:rRNA from 1 species
CCAAUAGCGUAUAUUAAAGUUGUUGCAGUUAAAAAGCUCGUAGUUGAAUUUCGGGGUCAGUAGGUUGGUCAUGCCACUGGUAUGUACUGGUCUCACUGAUUCCUCCUUCCUGAUGAACUGUAAUGCCAUUAAUUUGGUGUUGCAGGGAAUCUGGACUGUUACUUUGAAAAAAUUAGAGUGUUUAAAGCAGGCUAACGCCUGAAUACAUUAGCAUGGAAUAAUGAAAUAGGACGUUCGACCCUAUUUUGUUGGUUUCUAGGAUUGACGUAAUGAUUAAUAGGGAUAGUUGGGGGCAUUAGUAUUCAAUUGUCAGAGGUGAAAUUCUUGGAUUUAUUGAAGACUAACUACUGCGAAAGCAUUUGCCAAGGAUGUUUUCAUUAAUCAAGAACGAAAGUUAGGGGAUCGAAGACGAUCAGAUACCGUCGUAGUCUUAACCAUAAACUAUGCCGACUAGGGAUCGGAUGAUGUUAAUUUUUUAAUGACUCAUUCGGCGCCUUACG